rnacentral:rRNA from 1 species
UACGAAGGGGGGCUAGCGUUGCUCGGAAUUACUGGGCGUAAAGCGCUUGUAGGCGGCACGUCAAGUCGCGUGUGAAAUCCCCCAGGCUUAACCUGGGAAGUGCGCGCGAAACUGACGAGCUUGAGUGCCGGAGAGGGUCGCGGAAUUCCCGGUGUAGAGGUGAAAUUCGUAGAUAUCGGGAGGAACACCAGUGGCGAAGGCGGCGACCUGGACGGACACUGACGCUGAGACGCGAAAGCGUGGGGAGCAAACAGG